UACGGGGGGGGCAAGCGUUGUUCGGAAUUACUGGGCGUAAAGGCUCGUAGGCGGCCAACUAAGUCGGAUGUGAAAUCCCCAGGCUUAACCUGGGAACUGCAUCCGAUACUGGAUGGCUUGAAUCCGGGAGGGGGAUGCAGAAUUCCUGGUGUAGCGGUGAAAUGCGCAGAUAUCAGGAGGAACACCGAGUGGCGAAGGCAGGUCUCUGGGCAUUAACUGACGCUGAGGAGCGAAAGCAUGGGGAGCGAACAGG
rnacentral:rRNA from 1 species